CCAACAUCAAUGGAAGAAAUUAAACUUACCUCAAAGCAUAAGGUCAAUUGUUUGUCUUAACAUGCCUAGCUUCCCUGGUAGACUAGACCCUUGGGGCAAGCCAAAUUUUAGGAGAAAAAAAGAGAGAAACUUUACAUCAUCUUUUGUAGAUGAUGAACUUCUUGAGAUAAUAGGAUUUAGAGAUUCAUGGCAUGGGGAAAUUUUUCUUCCUUUGAAUGACCAUGGGACUCGUCUUGCACAAGUUAGUUCUAUGCAUGUAUAUUUUUUUUAAUCAAACCAGGCCUAAAACAUGUCUAAAAUUGAUCAUAUAAUUUUUGUUACAAUUAUAUGUUAUGCAAAAUAUUAAUAAGUAUUUAAAGUUUUAGUUUUAAUAUAUAAUAGUGGUAGUGAUGAUGAAACUAAUAUGUUAAUAAGAUGCAUCUUCAAAUAUCAAGUAUAGACUAACUUCUAUUUUUUCUUCUUCCUCUUCUUUGUUUACUUCUCAAUUCAGGCACACCGAAUUCGCUUUGAGCUUCACAAAGGGGUAGCUAAGCAUAUUGACAUGAAUUUUGAUGGGACAAGAUGGAAACAACCUACCCCUAUUGGUGAUGACAACUUCCUGAUUGAAAUCUCUUAUUCAUGUAAAACCAAAAUGCUUGCAACUUCAGCUUCAAAAUGCAAACACAAAUCUAAGUCCUGCUCCAAUUAAAUCUUUUCAACAGGGUUGAAAUCUUCAGUGAGGUUUUCAUGCUAAACCUUUAUAUGAGGAUAACAUGAUAAAAACUUUAUAUGUAUAUAUAUAAAGCCAAAAAUAUUUGAUGGGUGGA